UUAUUUCGUCCAAUGGCGAAAUUCUCCCCAUUACGUCCUUCUAGACCAUAAAAAGAAAAAUCAGGCGAGCACGGAAAUCCUGUUUCUUGGGCAGAUUUCCUCUGGGUUAAAAAUAAGCAGAUCUUAGCGGAAGACAGCCCACACGCCGGGGCUGGGGGCCCUUUUGCUGCUUUGCCCUUCGCAUGGGAUGGCAGUUCUGGCAGGAAAGGACACGCCGGGCCCCGGGGGAGACCGUAUUCCUGUUAACCACUGUUGCCAAGGACACAUCAGGUCGCGCUGCAAACAGGUCGAAAACGCUGGCUCUUAGUUACCCUGGAAAUCACCAGGAAGCUGAUCAAAUUUUCUUCGAAUCACAAGUGGGAGCUGAGAAGACUGCUUCUUCUCCGCGGGCAGCACACGACUCAAAUCCAGACAGGCAACGAACGAGCCGGGGUGCUCAGCUCUGCGCUGCCACGCACGCGGCGGUGGGAAAUCGCUGUCUCUCUGUUUCCCCGGGUGCGACACGGAGGGAUGGAGGCAGCCGUGGAAAAGCCCCUCAGAAGGCACUGGGAGUGUGAGGGUGACUCUCCUCCAUUUUCCCUCGCCCAGGGGAAACACUUUUAUUUUCGCUGCCUGAAAUCUAGAAGCAGCCAAGGGUACCCUACGUGGAAUGACGCAAGUGAAGAGAAAAUCAAAACCAAGAAACUAAUGAUGGACAAGAAGUUUCUCCUCCAUUUCUGAGCAGUACGUUCCCUCCUCGAUUACGGUUCUGCGAAGCUCCGUGACGCGUUCUUAGUGAAGCCCAGGCAGGAUUUGAAAUCUCGGCUGUGGGAUUUCCGACGGCAAAUGUGCUCACUCCGUGUGGAGACUUUUCGUGGAGCUGUAAGUAAGCGCUUUGUUCCCAGAACUUACCCUGUGCUCCGUUUUCCUCCUCCGAGCCUUUGGGAGGAAGCGCUCAAGCUGACUGCGUCGAUGAGUUUCUGCAAACCAACUUCGGGCCGACGGUUCUGGUCUCCUUUUCCCAAUUCACUGUCUCUGUGUGGUUCCGGGUUGACAGCAUUCCAAAGCGAACAGGAAAACAUGUCCUCAGCCUGCGUCCCCUCAGAGAGCCUGUCUCCGGGGGUCACCUGCAGCUCUCUGUGUCCUCUCUUCCCAAGCCCUCUCCGGCCAUCCCAUGGCUUUCCUAAAGAUGAGCGUUCUCACCCAAACCUCCAAUAUUUGCCUCCUACGUUGUUCUAUCUUCUUUGGAGAGGUUUUAGGAUGCUUUUGACAUCUGGCAGUUGGGACGGGAGGGAUUUCAAUGCAUUUCAAGGCAGCUAGGAUCAGUCCCUGGAGCAAAGGCUCAGGGGCUCACUUUUCUGUCCCCCCCCCCAAAAGGUGACUGCGUCAAGUGAAGAAGUGUGUCUGUUGGCAUCUUGCUGCCGAGCACAGAGUAUGUGGCUUCAGGGGCCGGGGGCAGGCUCCGGACGGCCAGUCCCCCUGAACCUCACCAGGUUUCAACUUGGGCAGAGAACCUCCUGCCCGGUUCUUUCCUCUCCUUCAAGUAUGUUGGCUCUUUUGCUAUAAAACCCACCCUAGCACUGCACCCCAGAAACUCCCGGGGAAGCCCAGAGUCUCGGGGCCUGUCUCAAGUUUUCGAAGAAAACCAGCAGAGCACAGCACAGUGGCUCCAGGACCCUUGGGAAGCGAUUUGGGGGCUGUCAUCGGGCCCCCCUCGGCUCCAAAGGGCCCCGCGGCUUUGUCUGUGUUUGCCGCGUCCUCUCAGCCACAACCGACCGCAAGGAACCCUGAGGGAUAUUCUACCUCUGACCCAGAAAGUGCCCAAAGCAGGACAGACCCCUGGUGGGCCAAGGGAGGGGAGACCAGGUUCUACGAGACAGGGCCCUCCGCCUUUGUCCUGGUCACCGCCCAGAGCCCGCACUGUGUCUGGUGUGUGCGGGCUGGGCAGGGCCUGCUUCGGCUCAGCCUCUUCUAGCCCCAGCUGGCUCUCCGGGAAACCGACGGACCCCAGCGGGGCCACACCAAGUCCCCCGUGCUGCUGGAGAGCACGCCAGGGGGUGUGGCGUGUGCGCUGCAGGGAGGACAGAGGGACCACAUCCCCUCCUGAGGCUCCUCCUGAGCGAGAGCUUCUGUCUGGAGCUGGAAGCCCAACCUGCCCACCAAGGCCACGGGGCCUCCUUCCCUGCAGGCCCUUCUCUCGUUCACGCCCGCUACCUCCUCCGGGCAGGGGCAGAGGGUCUCCCCCGUGGGAUUCACUCACGACCCGCCUUCCACUCAGAGGAAGUCAGGAGGAAUUCAUCCAAAUGGGCAAAUGCAACACUCCAGGAAUGUUCCACGGAGCCGGUUUGCCCUAUUCAGGCCAAACGUUCCUGGACAAGGGUCCCGGGGGGUGACCCGUGGCCAGGUUCCUUCGCCCACGGGCCUGCAUCUUGAGCUCACCGCCCGGCCCCCACGGAUGCCCGGUGGCCUCAGAAAUGUGCCUCCGUGGGGCUCUGCCAGGAAGCAAGUCCUUCUCCCACAGGACGAGCCACGCUCAAUGCUUCAGAAGCACCUGUUUCCUCUGUGGCAGGCUCAGGCCUCGCACCUUCUUGUCUGUCACCAUGAGCCGCUGUCCGCCAUGAGCCACUGUCCAAAGUGUCUUUACCCGUGGCUGGAGAUCCCCAAGCGGAUAUGGGGCUGGAGGGUGGGACCAGACCUGGAGGGCAGGGGGUGAGGGGGCCAAAUGCCUGAUGGGGAGCAGCGGGGGGCGGGGUGGGGGGGAGCCUCCUCUCCCUGCACCUCACCCGCUCCCCCCAUCCCCGCCCGAGGCCCAGCCCUCCACGGGGCAGCAGUGCGUUAACGGUUUCACAUCAGGCUUCUGCUUAAGAUUUUAUCCGAACAAGUGUCACUUCAGCCAUGAAAACCGGUCACCACUGAACAGUUCCCUCAAGCUUAGUGAAAACGGCAAAUCCCAUUUAUAUUGUCUCACAAUAAAAGAUCUGAUCAAUUGCUGGGUCAGAUCAUCUCCAAGUCCCCGUCAUCUGAGCCGUGACCUCUGCCCUGUCUGCUCUGCCGUGCCCCUUCCCCAGUCCUCCCAGAGGCCCCGCGCUCUGCUGAGCCCUUUGGAGCGACGCAGUGUUCUGUGGGAAGGCCAAAGUCCUGGGCACCUGGCGAGGACCUCAGCCCACGGUGGAAACAUCGGUGGGGACACAGGGGAAGGGGGACAUUGUUGCCCAAAACUAGAGAGCAGCCCUUCUCCUAUUUCUUGUCUCCACACACACCAAACAGGACAGACGUCAAAGGAACACAUACGCACACGGGUUACAUUCGAAUACUUACAUGAAUGUGGUGACAAGGAGUUUUUAACAUCAUUUCAGGGACUGGUAUCAUAAUGUCUCUUGGCAGGGGGGAAGGACUGUCUUUGCUGAGGAGAGAGGACCUCCUCUCAAGGGACCCCUAGGCCCCAAGGCCUCCAGGAGGCUGGAUGUUGUUCUGAGUAGGACAAAGGGGAGAUCUGAGAUUUUAGAUUCUAAAACAGGAGAGGGGAGCCCCCUGAGGUGGGAGAGGGAAGAGAGGAGAGCCCCUGAGGUGGGGGGAGGGGAAGAAGCCCCCUGAGGUGGAGGAAGGGUGAACAGAGGAGACACAGAAGCCAGAAGGCAGAAGGGCCUGGGUGGUGAGGGGAAGGGCUCCCCACACGAGCUGUCUCAGCUGCUCAGGAAGCCUCACCAGGGAGAAGCACAGAGGAGGGCUGAGACUCACUACGAGGGGCAGGAGGGGCCCUGAGGCUCCUGGAAAUUGGGCCGACUCGGGCAGGACCAUUUGCUGGGGAGCCCGGAGGAUGUGCCCCCAUGCUUCCAGGGACCGGGAGGUCCACUUGGCAUCCGGAUCACACCUCAACCAAAGGUGGGGUCCCGGUGCCCUUGGCUUGGCAAGGAGGAUGGGACAUCUGCUGCCCCCGCCGGCCCCGCCUGAUUUCUGAUGCACAAGCUCUGGGGCGGAAGUGAGGGCCCUUCCCCAAGAGGGGAAAUCCUGCCCCACCCUGAGACCCCCUGGAUGGCUCUGUUGUUUCCAGAGGGAAAACAAGGGGACUAGUGGGAAACAGGGGGUUUUCCCAGGCCCUUCCGGGCUUCCUCUUCGAAAACAAGCCGCCAGACCUGCACAGCUGCGGCCGGACCCCGAAUAACCUCACCACAAAGGCUGGCAGGCCUCCCAGUUAAAAAUAAUCUGCAGCCACUUCAUCAGGACAGGGCCAAGGGGCCCCCACCCAGAGAAGGCUUCCCUGCCCCCUGGUGUCUAUAGGGGCCGUUGGAAGUCAGUGAGCCAAACAGCUACCACAUGUAGGGUUCAUAGUGCUAGGUGCCACUCUCAGUUAAACCCUGCAAUAGCCCUGAGGUGGGCACCGUUAUUAUCAUCUAAGUGAUAAUGACAAAAGAGGAGGCAUAUGUGCAGAGAGGGUAAUCAACCAGCCCAAGGUUACACAGCAGGGGAAUGGCCGAACAGGGACUCAGACUUGGAAAGCCCGGCCAAGUCUGUUGUUCCAGAUGUUGCCUUUUCCUCCUUCAGAGCCAGGAAAGCAGUGAGGGGUUGAACACUGUUCCCCCAUCCCCCCGGGCAAGUUGUCUCUCAGUCUUGUUCUCCUUACCGGAAAAGUCACGUAAGAGGCCGAGGAGGCGGAAGUCUAGGCCCAGAGCCGGCACAGUGCCCCUUCUGUUGUACCCUCCUGGUCAAAGCCAUCACAGGCCCGUCCAGACUCAAGGGAAGAGAGACAGACUACCCGUCUCAAGGUAGGUGUAAUCGUCCCCAUCUUAUGGAUUAACAGAUCGAGGUUCAGAGAGGUGAAGGGUCCAGGGACAUAGAACUUGUGAGACAGACCCAAGGUUCACACCUGGGAUGGUGGCCUGGUCUGUGUGGGUCUGAAGUCUGGAGUCCUCUGCCCCACCACCUUGGCAGAGUGAUGGGUCAGGACUGACAGCUCACUUCAACAUCUAACCCAGUGGUUCCCAGCCCAGGCUGCAGACUCACCGGGGCAGUUUAAAAUCACAGAUUCCGGACCCUGCUCCUUGGAGUGAGGCUUUAAAUGGUCUGAUGUGGAGCCUGGACACUGGGAAUUUUUAAAGCACUCCAGUGAUUUUCACUGCAGCCAAGGGCGGAGGACACCGUUAAAACCAAACAGGUUCCCUCCCUGCUUGUGGCCUGCAUGGAGAACCUUCCCCUGGACAUUCCUUCCCUGACCCUGAGCAUCUGGCUCCAGCCCUGCCCCUGUCCCACCCUCCAAGUCAGCGGGGAAGAGGAGACUGCCACCCGGCCAGCCAGCUUCCCCCACACAGGGAUGGAGGAGAGACGUCCUGUUCCUGUGCAGGGAGGUGCUGGGGAAAGCAGCUACGACCAGAGCAAGUCCAGCCCCAGCGCUGCCAGAGGACAGGGGAUAUAGGUUCAAAGUCCAGCUCUGCCACUAAUUGGUUGAGGCUUCUUUCAUCUACAAAAUGGAGUUAAUCAUGACCACCAAGCCUACUUCACAGAGGGUUUGCAGGUCUUCAGAGAGGAAGUGAAUAUAAAAACACCAUGUGAAGAAGCGCAAGACUUUUACAUGGAAAACCAUAAAACAUCAUUUAAUGACACUCAAGACCUAAAUAAAUGAAAAGACAUCCCAUGUCCAUGGAUCGGAAGACUAAAUAUUGUUACGAUUGAAAUUUGUUAUAAGUGAAAAGGCAUCCCAUGUCCAUGGAUUGGAAGACUAAAUAUUGUUACGAUUGAAAAUUGUUAUAAAUGAAAAGACAUCCCAUGUCCAUGGAUUGGAAGGCUAAAUAUUGUCAUGAUUGAAAACUGUUACAAAUGAAAAGACAUCCCAUGUCCAUGGAUUGGAAGACUAAAUAUUGUUACAAUUGAAAA